rnacentral:rRNA from 1 species
GACGAACGCUGGCGGCGUGCUUAACACAUGCAAGUCGAGCGGUAAGGCCCCUUCGGGGGUACACGAGCGGCGAACGGGUGAGUAACACGUGGGUGACCUGCCCUCAGCUCUGGGAUAAGCCUGGGAAACUGGGUCUAAUACCGGAUAUGACUCCAUGACGCAUGUCGUGGGGUGGAAAGCCUUGUGCGGCUGGGGAUGGGCCCGCGGCCUAUCAGCUUGUUGGUGGGGUGAUGGCCUACCAAGGCGACGACGGGUAGCCGGCCUGAGAGGGCGACCGGCCACACUGGGACUGAGACACGGCCCAGACUCCUACGGGAGGCAGCAGUGGGGAAUCUUGCGCAAUGGGCGAAAGCCUGACGCAGCGACGCCGCGUGAGGGAUGACGGCCUGU